rnacentral:rRNA from 1 species
GAUGAACGCUGGCGGCGUGCCUAACACAUGCAAGUCGAACGAAAAGGCCAUGCUUUUGUGCGGUUCACGUGUGCGGCAGGGGGGAGUGUCACGUGUGUAUCAUGCACUUGUAUUUCUGGUAUAAUCACGGGAAUGGGGCUAAUAUCGGAUAGGAGAUCCUGCACCACAGGGGUGAUUGGAAAGUUUCGGCGGUUGGGGCUGGAAUCGCGGCUUAUGAGCGUGUUGGUGGGGUAGUGGCUUACCAAGGCUUUGAAGGGUAGCCGGCCUGAGAGGGUGACCGGCGACAAUGGGACUGAGAUAGGGCCCAGACUCCUACGGGAGGCAGCAGUGGGGAAUAUUGCACAAUGGGCGGAAGCCUGAUGCAGCAACGCCGCGUGCGGGAUGACGGCCUUCGGGGUGUAAACCGCUUUCGCCUGUGACGAAGCGUGAGUGACGGUAAUGGGUAAAGAAGCACCGGCUAACUACGUG